CCGCGCUGCCGCUCCUUUCUCCACCUCGGGACCCCUCCCCCCGCGGGCCCUCCCAGCUGCCGCGUUCAUACGUGCACGUGGAUAUCGGGGGCGGCGGGAUUCAAGCUGACAACUCAACUCGGAGCCCACUCCAGCCAUUGUUCUCAGAAGAGACUUUGAUCAGCCCCAGCCCAAUUCAUGAUUUUAAAAAUAGUGAUUGAGUGAUGUUAUCCAUGCCUGUAGAAUUCCAGGAAUGGAGAUCGGAACUCUUUUCAGAAAGCACAAAAUGGUUGAAGA